AUGGUUCAAACAAAUAGGCACACACAUUUUCAAUUAGUAUAUCGUCUCAUUGAAUUGGCCUUGAUUCUGCCUGUCGCUACAUCAACCGUAGAAAGAGCUUUCUCAGCUAUGAGCAUUGUCAAAACUGAGUUGCGGAACAAGAUGAAUGAUGAAUGGAUGAAUCAUCAUAUGGUGUGCUGUAUUGAGUGUGAUGUAUUUGCAAGCUUUGAUGAUAUUGAGAUUAUACAAUGCUAUCAAGAAAUGAGAAAACGCAAGGGGCUACUACCUCGUGCACUUCGUGACAAUGGUAUUUUUUUCUCAAAAUAUCAUACGAACAAUUGA
rnacentral:rRNA from 1 species